ACGCCCAACACCGACAGCCCCGCCUUGGCCCCGCCCACUGCCCCGCCCGCACCCAGUGUCAGGCACCGGAAGCUCAGUAACUGGCGUACGUGGUCGUGAUACUGGUCCACUGCAUUCUAUCCAGGGCCUGAAAUGCUUUUGCACAGACACUUCCUCGUCAGAUGGAACAACAUGAUGGAACCCAUCAUGCACAACAGAAAGGCCGAGAAGACCUCAUGGUACAGUUGGCCAUGGAGAUGACUGGACGAUCAGUCUCAAAGCGGUGAAGAUCUGGAUUUCUAGGCUUCCCUAAAUUGGUCAACCUCUCACAAGCAAGAAAAUGACCAGAGAGGCGGACGGAGAGACUGAACACGCAGACAAUGAUCAGACCACAUGUAAACUGAGAAACUCUGACCCACACCUGUGCAGCCACCAGCCCAGAAUGGUCAGGGCUUGGUCAAUGACUGCCUGUUUCCCUAUCUUUUGCUCCUAUUUCUGAAUCAGGACCAACCAGAGAAAGCCAGUUAUGUUCCCAAAACGAAUCGCAUGAGAUUCCUGGCUUCCAGAUAGCCUACCUCCAGUCUUCCCAUGCCAACAACCUCCAAUCACGACACGCCUGAGGCCUCUCUCCAUCACCCCCUUUUCUACUAUAAAGCUUUUCCCUCCUCUGCCUGCCUUUGAGUUUCUGUCAAAAGCUAGUGCUGGUGGUCGGCUCCCUUACUAUACAGCAAGUUCAGAAUAAAUAACCUCUGCUUGUUCUCA